GAAUAGCAAAUGGGUAAAGCUGUCAACAAAUAAGAUCAAGAUAUUAAUUCAAAUUCUAAAGAGAGAUUUUUUUGAUAAAAAAUGUAAUUUGAGCUAUUGUUGGUUUGUCAAAUGAGCAUACCAUUGCCAAAGCUAGCAGCAUGCUUCCAUUUCUUGCCCGAACAAUCUUACAAACAUUGUAUACACUGCACGUGAAUGACAGAUAUUUAAAGCACAAUUUAAGCCGACCCUAACAAUAGUUGCACGGGCACUUAAUUUUAUCUCUACUCAUAAAGUUUGGCUGACUAGUGGCAAACUCAAGGAAAGUUUCAAGUCCCGACAAAAAUGUGGGAUUCCAACUACCAUCAGAAAGAUAUCGACUAUACAUCCAUUCACGAUUCUGAGUCAUUCUUGCAAUUCCUAAUAAAUAAAUUCCACUAAAUGAGGUAAUCUUGAAUAUAUAUACUAUAAUAAAGAAUUUUUAAAUAACCCUCUAAAAAAAGAAUUUUCAAAUAAGAUGAGUCAUUCUUGCAUUUCCUAGUUAAAUACUAGUUUAUAAAACAAGAAAUAAGAAGGAAUGAUCUACAUUACCUGUUAUUAAUUUUUAACUAGAAAGUGAAAGAGUGAAUGGCAAAUAUUCAAUCCUAACAGCAAGUAUUCAAUCCUAACAGCAAGAUUUCAAAAAAGAAAUUAUGAGUUUCCAAAAAUCCUAACAGCAAGUAUUCAAUCCUAACAUCAAGUAUUCAAUACCUAAGUUCCUUCAAGAAAAUGGCCGUGGCAGUGAUUUUCCAGCUAUCCCUGUAUAUAAUGCCUCGUAUUCUGCUGAUCUGCACAAAACAGGUACUGUUUUAAGCGACUUUUGAUAGUUUUUUUGAUCUGCACAAAAUAGGUACUGCACAAGUUUUAGAAAAGUAGAAGAACUUACGCACUAUGUUUCAGGUUUGUGAUAGUACCAAGUCUUAAAUGAUAGGAAACAAUCAACAAUACGACAUGAAGAAUUUCAUUAGGCUGAACAGGAAAAUCUGAAUAUAAAGGUGGAAAUUUCCAAAUGCUGUAUCACAUAGACAACUCUUGACUAAAUAUGCACUAAAUAGGUACUAUUAGGUACACAUGCAUAUACAUACAAAAUAAAACAAAAGAAGCAAGCACACACAUCCCUCAUUUGCAGUCAAUAAUUUUGCUCUUGCUAAAGUAAAUGAAUGGAUAGAACAAGAAAAAUUGUCAUAAAGUUCAUGAAUAAGUCAAAGUUCCAAUGAGAUAAGUGUGUUCCGAACUACAAUGAUGCAUAAAUUCAAUUAAUACCUGCAAUUCCUCCCCAAAAUUCAAUCAACUUCAUUAGUUUAUUCCUCAUAUAAUGUGAACCACUCGUUACAGAAAGAGAAAAAUGAAAGCAAAUCAAUGCAAUGUAGCAAUAGAGAAAAAUACAAAAGAGAAUUCCGGAGUAGUUCAUAUCAUCCAUGCAGAUGCUAUCAACUUCGCCCAAACAAACUGAACAGAAUAAAUACAAUAUUAAGAAACACUUUUAGAGUAUAAUUCAUCUUAAAAUAGGAUUAUCAGGAAGUCUGGGAUCAAAAUGAUUAAUAAACUGCACACAGCUCAAUGGGACAGUGGUCUAUUAUCAGAGAAGCAGGAAAUCCAGGGCAAACGAACCAUGAUUUCAGUUUUGAGCAGCCAGAACAAGAGGAAAACAACUAAACCAAUCAUCAUCAAGCAAAAAAGAAAAAAAAAGGUUUAGUAACAGUCUCAGAAAAUUCUUUUUAAAUUCUUGCAACCGCUUUUUUUUCCACACCAUAUUCUCAUCAUCCUGCAUAUUUUCUCCAUUUCUAUUGAUAAUUAAAUAACUUCAUAAACAAACAGAAAAACAUACCAAAUAUUCCCAUAUUCGCCCUGCAUUUUCAUAAACCGAAGGCAAUAGCAUCUCAAACAGAUUAAGGAAACAAAAGUUUGCUCCAUUGAUAACGAAGCUUACCAAUUGUUGCAGCUAUGGAGUCGCGGGACAGGGUAGGCUGGGCGAGGGCGGUGCAAUCCCGAAAUUGGGAGUCUAAUGUCAAAUAACAAAACUUAGUUAUUAACAUUCUCAUAACCAGAAGAGAACCCCCACAAAUCGAAGAGAACUUGCCAAUUGAUGGCGGCUGCGACGGUGAGGGUCGGAGCAAGGACGGUGGCGACGCCGGUGAGAGGACGGCGGUGAGAGAAAUGGAAGACCAGUAGCGGCUGGAACGGUGAUAAAAACCUAAGUUUGUAAUUGGGGGUAAAUGAUUACCGCUCAGUUGGAACAAUGGGUUAGAUUUGAAAAUUCAAUUUUGCUAC
rnacentral:lncRNA from 1 species